rnacentral:rRNA from 1 species
UACGGAGGAUCCGAGCGUUAUCCGGAUUUAUUGGGUUUAAAGGGUGCGUAGGCGGCUUUGCAAGUCAGAUGUGAAAUCUAUGGGCUCAACCCAUAAACUGCAUUUGAAACUGUAGAGCUUGAGUGCAGUUGAGGCAGGCGGAAUUCGUGGUGUAGCGGUGAAAUGCUUAGAUAUCACGAAGAACCCCGAUUGCGAAGGCAGCUUGCUAAACUGUAACUGACGUUCAUGCUCGAAAGUGUGGGUAUCAAACAGG